GGCGGUUCCCCGGAGCGGAAGAGGCGGGCCCGGCCGUUCCCUUUUCUUUUCUGAGCGCUCGGAGGAGCGGGACGCGGGGCAUCAUGUCCGGCCGUGAGGGUGGUAAGAAGAAGCCUCUGAAACAGCCAAAGAAACAGUCGAAAGAAAUGGACGAAGAGGAUUUAGCUUUCAAGCAAAAGCAGAAAGAAGAGCAGAAGAAACUUGAAGAGAUGAAAGCUAAAGCUGCUGGGAAAGGACCUCUUGCCAGUGGUGGAAUCAAGAAGUCUGGCAAAAAGUGACCUGUUGAUUGUAAUGGAGAAAGCAGUUUUCCUUAGCAAGAAAGAAUGUGGUUGAAAUUUGAAGGCUCCUACAUGCAAAUGUUGUUUUAGGGCCCCAUGUACAUUCAAGAAUAAACUUUUUUUUUUUUAAGAUCAA